rnacentral:rRNA from 1 species
UACGGGGGGGCAAGCGUUGUUCGGAAUUACUGGGCGUAAAGGGUGCGUAGGCGGCUCUCUAAGUCGGAUGUGAAAACUCUGGGCUCAACCCAGAGCCUGCAUCCGAAACUGGAGGGCUAGGGUUUUGGAGGGGAAAGCGGAAUUCCAGGUGUAGCGGUGAAAUGCGUAGAUAUCUGGAGGAACACCGGUGGCGAAGGCGGCUUUCUGGACAAAUACCGACGCUGAGGCACGAAAGCUAGGGGAGCAAACGGG